rnacentral:rRNA from 1 species
AACGAACGCUGGCGGCAUGCCUAACACAUGCAAGUCGAACGAGACCUUCGGGUCUGGUGGCGCACGGGUGCGUAACGCGUGGGAACCUGCCCUUAGGUUCGGAAUAACUCCCCGAAAGGGGUGCUAAUACCGGAUAAUGUCUUCGGACCAAAGAUUUAUCGCCUUUGGAUGGGCCCGCGUUGGAUUAGCUAGUUGGUAGGGUAAAAGCCUACCAAGGCGACGAUCCAUAGCUGGUCUGAGAGGAUGAUCAGCCACACUGGGACUGAGACACGGCCCAGACUCCUACGGGAGGCAGCAGUGGGGAAUAUUGGACGAGGGGCGAAAGCCUGAUCAAGCAGUGCCGCGUGAGUGAUGAAGGCCGUAGGGUUGUAAAGCUCUUUUACCCGGGAUGAGAAUGACAGUACCGGGAGAAUAAGCUCCGGCUAACUACGUG